rnacentral:rRNA from 1 species
UGGGGAAUAUUGGACAAUGGGCGAAAGCCUGAUCCAGCAAUGCCGCGUGAGUGAUGAAGGCCCUAGGGUUGUAAAGCUCUUUUACCCGGGAUGAUAAUGACAGUACCGGGAGAAUAAGCUCCGGCUAACUUCGUGCCAGCAGCCGCGGUAAUACGAGGGGAGCUAGCGUUGUUCGGAAUUACUGGGCGUAAAGCGCGCGUAGGCGGCUUUUUAAGUAAGAGGUGAAAGCCCGGGGCUCAACCCCGGAAUAGCCUUUGAAACUGGAAAGCUAGAAUCUUGGAGAGGUCAGGGGAAUUCCGGGUGUAGAGGUGAAAUUCGUAGAUAUUCGGAAGAACACCAGUGGCGAAGGCGACUGACUGGACAAGUAUUGACGCUGAGGUGCGAAAGCGUGGGGAGCAAACA